GUAGGAGCCAGCCAUGUGCGGAGCACAUAUUCAGGAUGCUGGCGACGACAUGCCGCCGAGCGGAUGCGAGGGGGCGUUACCGAU
rnacentral:sRNA from 1 species